rnacentral:rRNA from 1 species
GUGUCAGCAGCCGCGGUAAUACGAAGGGGGCUAGCGUUGUUCGGAUUUACUGGGCGUAAAGCGCACGUAGGCGGGUUGUUAAGUCAGGGGUGAAAUCCUGGAGCUCAACUCCAGAACUGCCUUUGAUACUGGCAACCUAGAGGCUGGAAGAGGUUAGUGGAAUUCCCAGUGUAGAGGUGAAAUUCGUAGAUAUUGGGAAGAACACCAGUGGCGAAGGCGGCUAACUGGUCCAGAUCUGACGCUGAGGUGCGAAAGCGUGGGGAGCAAACAGGAUUAGAUACCCUCGUAGUCC